UUAGCCCUUUUAUAUCCACAUGUGGAUGAGGAGUUAAAGAUACAUGAGUAGCACUGAGGCAGAUGAAGAGGAAUGAGGCAGAAUGAGUGUUCCAAGAAGAGAAGACACCAUAUUUGAAAUGCCAGACAUCAGUGAGAAUGUGGGGUGUUUGAGAAACCAAGAGAAAUCCUAUGCAUUAUGAUGCUAAAAUGCAAGCUUUGAUUUUAAGUCUUUUCAGGAGAGAAAUGGAGCCAUGGAACAAAAUGAUCUCUAAGUUUACUUCUGGAUUUAAAAACUUUGUAUCUGAAGUUGUUUCAAGUGAACUCAAAAAAGAAAAAAAAAAAAAGGUAAGAUUUUUUAGCUGCUGGUUUUUAAACUGGCCACUCAUCAAAAUCACUUAGAGCUUUUUAAAAAUGGGAGUUUGAUGGAAAUGCUAUAAAAUUGGGUUGUGAUGAUCGUUAUACAACUAUGAAUGUAAAAAAAUUCAUUAAAAAAUAAAAAAAUAAAAAUGUAGAUCUUCUAACCUGUU
rnacentral:lncRNA from 1 species